CGGAUAGCUGAUAAUAUUCGAGAUCUGAUUGUUGAAUCCAGUUCAGAAUGGAAUUUGUUGCCCUUCAAACGAAGGUUGUUUGUAUUGAAGGUCAACAAUAGUCCUUGAUAAAUUUCUAAGGAGCACGAGAUAAGAUCUGAGGUUUCAGCAUAGGGAAGUUCACACGCAGAAAGCUUUGAACAAACGUCAUUCUUGUGGCUAGGUUCAGCUCUUUGCUUCGGCUUUGUAAAAGGAGCACAUGUGGUAAGGGAAAAUACUUUCUCGUGUUUUGGCAGGGUUUUUAUGCGACCUCGAGCUACUUUUUGGUGUUCCAGAUGCUCAGUUUCACCAUUUAUCUCCUCACAUACAUUUGUACCUGGAAUACCGCAAAUUUCACAGGACUUGGACACCCA
rnacentral:lncRNA from 1 species